GACGAACGCUGGCGGCGUGCUUAACACAUGCAAGUCGAACGGAAAGGCCCUGCUUUGGGGGGGUGCUCGAGUGGCGAACGGGUGAGUAACACGAGAGUAACCUGCCCUUGAGUUUGGGAUAACUUCAGGGAACUGGGGCUAAUACCUGAUAGGAGCUCCUGCUGCAUGGUGGGGGUUGGAAAGUUUCGGCGGGUGGGGAUGGACUCGCGGCUUAUCAGCGUGUUGGUGGGGUAGUGGCUUACCAAGGCUUUGACGGGUAGCCGGCCUGAGAGGGUGACCGGCCACAUUGGGACUGAGAUACGGCCCAGACUCCUACGGGAGGCAGCAGUGGGGAAUAUUGCACAAUGGGCGGAAGCCUGAUGCAGCAACGCCGCGUGCGGGAUGACGGCCUUCGGGUUGUAAACCGCUUUCGCCUGUGACGAAGCGUGAGUGACGGUAAUGGGUAAAGAAGCACCGGCUAACUACGUG
rnacentral:rRNA from 1 species